rnacentral:lncRNA from 1 species
UAAACUCUCGGCAGUUAUCAGCCCUUUUGUUGCAUCGGCAAGCAGCCGAAAUCCGCUGCAAAGCUCGGCCACAAACACCUCCACGUCGAGCUUCUGCGCCAUCACCGGCAACAAGUCUUCAUACCCUUCAUCCAGUACUCUACCUGAGGUAUUAUGAUUUUGAUCCAUUGCUUGAAGAUGAGAAAUUAAGAUGAAGAGGGAAUUAUAUAUAUAUAAAGAUUUAUUGAUUGGUUUGGUUGGAAAAGGGCAAUUCUUGAUGUCAACUCAUCCCUCAAAAUCAUCCAAAUCUUACCUGUCUAAGAUACCCACAAUCUCUAAAAUACAUAUAAAAGGAGGACAUAAGGGGGAACACAAUAUUUCCCUAUACUAAAUGUCUAAGUCUAACCAUAGUUAAGUCUUAGAUGAAUGUGACAGAGAAAAGAUAUUUUUAUCUUUAAGAAAAGGUUAAAUUGAAGUAGUUAGUGCCUUUUUAUGAAUAGAGUCUAUCCUUUAUAAACUCCCGUUAAUGGAUAUAUAUUUUAUCAUUCACCGACUCAAAAAAUCGGAUCUAAACGUGUAUAUAAUUAAUACUCUAAUAUAAUAUUGGUUUGAUUGCUCUAAAAAAUGGGGCGGACCAUUUGCUAACUUCUCGUAUGUAUAAUCUUUCGAUUAGAAAAUUUUGGAAGGUUGUUGCCUAAUACGAGAAGAUGUUUUUACUGAAUUUGUAUGAAAUUUAGAAAUUGGACAUUUGUAGAGUUGAGAAAGAAGAUUGGAAUAAGAAUUAGAAGGUAGGUUCGAGGAAGUUUCUUUGAGAGAAAAGGAUAAUCAUAAGGGGGUGAUGGGAGGGGUUUGGACUUUCUUAAGAAGUUUCUUAGGAGUUUCGUUGUUUGGAAUUUAUGUGGGAUUUGGAUUCUUCUACAUCUGAUUUGUUAUAAUAUUUGCAUAAAGGAGACAUUAUUGGUGUCCAUUUCUGCACUAUUCUUUUGAAAAGUGACCACUCAUAUUCGUUCAUUGGCCCCAUCUCUUUUCAUUUUCCCCUCUGCAUCCACAUGUAUGUAUCCAAGAGAGAGUCUAAAAUAAUUUUAUGGCUCCCGUGUAUAAAGAAGUUAGGUUGGUUUAAUUUUAAUAAAUGUAAAUAAUAAUAAUAGUUGGGUGCAUUUUAAAAUAUAUAUAUUUUAGGUAGGUUUUGUAAUUUUCAUUGAAAUGUAUGUACUACAGUUUGAUUUUCUAGUUUUUCUGUAUGUGAAUGUGUAAGCCUAUUUUUAGGGUUGGUUUCACUAUUGUUUUUUUAAACAAUAUAUGAUUUUAGGUCAGUAGGGCAUCAAGACAUCUCCACUAAGGGUAAACACCUAUAUAGCAUCAUCACCAUUUCCGUUUCAUUAAUGAUAUGAGAAAAAUGUAUAAGAAGCAUAGAAGAUAAAAGAGGGCUACAGAGAAGCCUAAAGACAGCCCAAAAGUAGUACAAGUUAAUCAAAAUCGGUUUCACUAUUGCCUUUGAAGGAGUAGUUUGGUAACUAGCUUUUUAGAAAAUGGAUAUCGUUCAAUUUUCAAUUUUUUUUAAAAUUUCGAUUUAAAGAAAGUAUUUAAAAUUUUUUUAAGAAAUUUUAAAAACAAAAAAAUUAUUAGUAUAAGAAAUAGUAACACUGUAACUAUAUUGAAUCGGAGUUCCAAAUAUGAAAAAGUGAAGGGGAGAACAUUGGUACCCAAAGAUUAAUGGUAAAAUAUUUGUGAUUAGUACUCUCAAAUAGUACAAUGGCAUACAUAUUAGGGGAGUAUACUAUAUGAGACAUUAUAUAUAUACAUAGUGGUAGUCAUCAUUUUAAUUCCCAACAAAAAGGGGAAAAAUUAAAAUUCCAGAAUUCUAAAUAAAUUAUAGUCAUACAAGACAUAUAUGAUUAGGGUUUAGGUUUAGAAAAGUAGAACUAAAGGGAGAUUUCAGUUAUAUAUGAUAUAAUAAACUAUAUAUUUGAAGAUGUUAAUGAACUCAGGCCUCUGGAAAGACCCUCAUGGCUACAUUAUGAUCAUGGUUAUCUGAAGAAGAUGGCUUCUUCUUCUCGUCUUCCGAAUCGUAAUUAGCGACAUUAGCUAACGUCUCAACUGCAUUCACAACGUGUUCGAUUCUCGAUGUAGUU